UCUAGAGCAGAAAUAAUCUGCAGUUUUUCUCAUCAGUGUAAAGGAUAAAAUGUCAAAACAACAACUGGGAUGGAACACAGGUUUUUGGUGACCUCAGACUAUGUUUACAGCCAUCAGUUUUCACCUUCUGGGUGUGUAUUUUCAAGCAGUUACUAAUCCACAUAAGAGAGCCAUCUCCAACCCAUUCGUUCCAGUUGUGUCUGUAGAGGUAUGAUGUACUUGUCCCAAGGUCUUCCUGAAAUCCUGGUACACAGACCCGUUGAUCAGCCUAGGGACUGUAUUCAGAAAGUCAUCAUCGCUCUUAUUGAGCCUAAUGAUUUCUGCUUCAUUUUCUGUGUUCAAUUUCGAUCAAGACACUUUGUUAAGUGUCUAUGAUGUGUAGGUCAUUGCAGAGGUUGCCAGGAAGGCAAAACAAUCCUUGUCAUGGAGGGGUUUUUAUUGUAUUGAGAGCAUAAACUAUCCUUUAUGUGACUAAUUUUGUAAUGUUUGUAAGACGUACUUUAAUGUUACCAACCAAUGUUGGGACUUUCUUCAACUUUGCUCUUGUGUGUGUGUGUGUGUGUGUGUGUGUGUGUGUGGCCCCCUCACCUUCCUCAGGCUGCAGGUCCCGCUGUGGCCGCGUAUGGCCGCCAGGAGGGCUGAGCGCUCGCAGUCCGCCUCAGUGUAGGACGGUUUCUUUGGCCCUCCCUUUGAGCCGGGUUCUGGAAUCUAGAAUAUUUAUUAAUGACGUCAACUCCUGUCACUUAGGUGACGGGGAGAUGACGACUAUAAGGCAGUACGCAAGAAAGCCCAUAGUUAUCAGGUCAGGCCUGCAGGGUCAGUUUUACCAUCUCUGUCUGUUAGAAGGUAGAAGUAUCAGGGUGCUGUUCUGGAUUGACUUCACACUAUAUAAAAAUUAUGGGGCUUCCCUGGUGGCUCAGCUAGAAUCUGCUUGGCAAUGCAGGAGAUGCAGGUUUGAUCCCUGGGUGGGGAAGAUCCCCUGGAGAAGGGAAUACCCACUCCAGUAUUCUUGCCUGGGAAAUCCCAUGGACAGAGGAGCCUGGUGGGCUAGAGUCCAUGGGGCCACAAAGAGUCAGACAUGA
rnacentral:lncRNA from 1 species